rnacentral:tRNA from 1 species
GGUAGCGUGGCCGAGCGGUCCAAGGCGCUGGAUUAAGGCGCCAGUCUCUUCGGGGGCGUGGGUUCAAAUCCCACCGCUGCCA